rnacentral:rRNA from 1 species
UGGGGAAUAUUGGACAAUGGGCGAAAGCCUGAUCCAGCCAUGCCGCGUGUGUGAAGAAGGUCUUCGGAUUGUAAAGCACUUUAAGUUGGGAGGAAGGGCAUUAACCUAAUACGUUAGUGUUUUGACGUUACCGACAGAAUAAGCACCGGCUAACUCUGUGCCAGCAGCCGCGGUAAUACAGAGGGUGCAAGCGUUAAUCGGAAUUACUGGGCGUAAAGCGCGCGGAGGUGGUUUGUUAAGUUGGAUGUGAAAGCCCCGGGCUCAACCUGGGAACUGCAUCCAAAACUGGCAAGCUAGAGUACGGUAGAGGGUGGUGGAAUUUCCUGUGUAGCGGUGAAAUGCGUAGAUAUAGGAAGGAACACCAAUGGCGAAGGCGACCACCUGGACUGAUACUGACACUGAGGUGCGAAAGCGUGGGGAGCAAACA